rnacentral:rRNA from 1 species
AGUGGAUGGGGAGCAACCUAGUUGUGCGUGUGUAAAGGUAGUGCCAAGAAAAGCGAUGAUCAUGUUGAAAAUCAAUUCCCGGUACCCGAAACCGACACAGGUGGGCAAGUAGAGAAUACUAAGGGGCGCGAGGUAACUCUCUCCAAGGAACUCGGCAAAAUGACCCCGUAACUUAGGGAGAAGGGGUGCCACCGAGAGGUGGUCGCAGUGAAGAGGCCCAGGCGACUGUUUAGCAAAAACAUAGGUCUCUGCAAACUCGAAAGAGGAGGUAUAGGGGCUGACGCCUGCCCAGUGCCGGAAGGUUAAAGAAGUUGGUCAGUUUUAGGAUGAAGCUAGCGACUGAAGCCCCGGUGAACGGCGGCCGUAACUAUAACGGUCCUAAGGUAGCGAAAUUCCUUGUCGGGUAAGUUCCGACCCGCACGAAAGGCGUAACGAUCUGGGCGCUGUCUCGGAGAGAGGCUCGGCGAAAUAGGAUUGUCUGUGAAGAUACGGACUACCUGCAUUUGGACAGAAAGACCCUAUGAAGCUUUACUAUAGCUUGGAAUUGUGUUCGGGCUUCCUGUGCGCAGGAUAGGUGGGAGGCGUAGAAGGUAUUCUUGUGGGGAUACUGGAGCCAACGGUGAGAUACCACUCUCAGGAGGCUAGAAUUCUAACUUAAUUAAGGACAGUUUCAGGUGGGUAGUUUGACUGGGGCGGUCGCCUCCAAAAAGGUAACGGAGGCGUACAAAGGUUCCCUCAGACUGGUUGGAAAUCAGUCGAAGAGUGCAAAGGCAGAAGGGAGCUUGACUGCGAGAAGUACAGUUCGAGCAGGGUGGAAACACGGUCUUAGUGAUCCGACGGUGCUGUGUGGAAGGGCCGUCGCUCAACGGAUAAAAGUUACUCUAGGAUAACAGGCUGAUCUCCCCCAAGAGUUCACAUCGACGGGGAGGUUUGGCACCUCGAUGUCGGCUCAUCGCAACCUGGGGCGGAAGUACAUCCCAAGGGUUGGGCUGUUCGCCCAUUAAAGCGGUACGUGAGCUGGGUUCAGAACGUCGUGAGACAGUUCGGUCCAUAUCCGAUGUAGGCGUGAGAAUAUUGAGAGGAGCCUUCCUUAGUACGAGAGGACCGGGAAGGACGCACCGCUGGUGUACCUGUUAUGAUGCCAAUUGUAAACGCAGGGUAGCCAAGUGCGGAGAGGAUAACCGCUGAAAGCAUCUAAGUGGGAAGCCCACCUCAAGAUGAGUAUUCUGGUGUAAGGUCACGGGAAGACGACCCGUAAAUAGGCACGAGGUGGAAGUGCAGAGAUGUAUGAAGCCGAAGUGUACUAAUUGACCGUCGGCUUGACC